GGUUCCGUCGUACCCCCCGUGGCCGCUGCCUCCAUGUGCGGUUCCGCUGCCGGCGCCGUAUGCGCCGUGGCCGCCCACGUAGGUGGCGCCGCCGUUCGCCAUGCCCGCGCCUUGUUUCAGCUACAUGGAUGCUGCGUCGUCGCCGCAGCCGCCUACGCCAGCGCCGCAGCCGCCACCGCCUGCGCCGCAGCCGCCGCCGCAGCCGUUUAUUUGCUUUGUGCAGAGCCCGCAAUGGUGGCAAGGGCCCUCGGCGCGUGGUCGGGGGCGUGGCGGGCGCCUUGGCCGCGGGAGCGGCGGGGGUGGGCGCGGCGGGCGCGGUCGCGGUCGUGGUCGUGGGCGCGGUCGCGGUCGUGACACCUUUGGUCGGUGGGUAUACUUAAUAAAUUAAGUAAACCCACCGACCAAGGAGCCCUUAAGGGCUGAUUUUUCAAUGGGCAGAAACAACGUUUAUCUGACCAUUGAAAAAUCAGCCCUUAAAUCUUAAUUUGUUAAGUUUUGAAAACUCUAUUUUUAAUAAAUAUUUGAUUUU